AUUGAACGCUGGCGGCAGGCCUAACACAUGCAAGUCGAACGGUAACAGGAAGCAGCUUGCUGCUUUGCUGACGAGUGGCGGACGGGUGAGUAAUGUCUGGGAAACUGCCUGAUGGAGGGGGAUAACUACUGGAAACGGUAGCUAAUACCGCAUAACGUCGCAAGACCAAAGAGGGGGACCUUCGGGCCUCUUGCCAUCGGAUGUGCCCAGAUGGGAUUAGCUAGUAGGUGGGGUAACGGCUCACCUAGGCGACGAUCCCUAGCUGGUCUGAGAGGAUAACCAGCCACACUGGAACUGAGACACGGUCCAGACUCCUACGGGAGGCAGCAGUGGGGAAUAUUGCACAAUGGGCGCAAGCCUGAUGCAGCCAUGCCGCGUGUAUGAAGAAGGCCUUCGGGUUGUAAAGUACUUUCAGCGGGGAGGAAGGGAGUAAAGUUAAUACCUUUGCUCAUUGACGUUACCCGCAGAAGAAGCACCGGCUAACUCCGUG
rnacentral:rRNA from 1 species